AACAUAAAGGCACGCAAAGAAAAAUUAAAAAUUAAAAUAAAAAAUGUCAUGUAGUUGUUAUUUUGUUAUUCUU
rnacentral:ribozyme from 1 species